CAGUCGCCGCGGUAAUACAGAGGAUUUAAGCGUUACCCGGAAUGAUUGGGCGUAAAGCGUCUGUAGGUGGCUUUUCAAGUCCGUCGUCAAAUCCCAGGGCUCAACCCUGGACAGGCGGUGGAAACUACCAAGUUGGAGUACGGUAGGGGCAGAGGGAAUUUCCGGUGGAGCGGUGAAAUGCGUUGAGAUCGGAAAGAACACCAACGGCGAAAGCACCCUGCUGGGCCGACGUUGACACUGAGAGACGAACGCUAGGGGAGAAAAUGGGAUUAGAUACCCCAGUAGUCCCUGUCUCUUAUAA
rnacentral:rRNA from 1 species